UUCCCUUGAAAAAAAAAACAAAACACCCUUAAAUCCUCUCAACCCCCUUAAUUUUAGGCCAUGAAUCUGGCCAUCGCCCGCCGUGUCGGCCACCGGUCGCCGACGACGGCGCCGUCGUCCACAACGGCCUGAAGGCCAAAAGUCACCUUUUUCAGUGGAAUAAAAAAAAGGGUAAACGGGCGGUGCAACAGUGCUGCAGUGGCAGUGUCAAAAUGGCAGAGUGCGGUGGCUAGUGGCGGCUUGAUCAGAAGAUCCUAGGUGCAGCACACCUAGGGUUUAGUUAUUUUUUUGUUUUUUCUUAUUUGGGCUACAUUGUUGGGCUUCGGGUUUGGUUGGCUUUUAUUGGGUCUGUAAUAGGUUUAAUAUUAGGCUAAUUUGUUUAGGUUGGCUUUUAUAUAUUUUUAAAUAUAGAAUUAAAUCAUUAAAA